AUUCGCCAACCCAGGAACGUGAGGAGCUGUUCAUCCAGAAGCUACGCCAGUGCUGUGUCCUCUUUGACUUCGUGUCAGACCCACUCAGUGACCUCAAAUUCAAAGAGGUGAAGCGGGCAGGACUCAAUGAGAUGGUGGAGUAUAUCACCCACAGCCGUGACGUUGUCACCGAGGCCAUCUACCCCGAGGCUGUCACCAUGUUUUCAGUGAAUCUCUUCCGGACGCUGCCUCCUUCAUCGAAUCCCACAGGAGCCGAGUUUGACCCUGAGGAAGAUGAGCCUACCUUGGAAGCGGCCUGGCCACAUCUCCAGCUUGUGUAUGAGUUUUUCUUACGUUUCUUGGAAUCUCCAGAUUUCCAGCCGAAUAUAGCCAAGAAGUACAUUGACCAGAAGUUUGUACUUGCUCUCCUGGACCUUUUCGAUAGCGAAGACCCUCGAGAGCGGGAUUUUCUUAAGACCAUUUUGCAUCGCAUCUAUGGCAAGUUUUUGGGGCUCCGGGCUUAUAUCCGUAGGCAGAUCAACCACAUCUUCUACAGGUGAGGCGAUGAGGCCAGGCUUGGGAGCACAGCACAGCACAGCCCUGCGGAGGUGGGAUGGGAGCAGGAAGGCAGGGAAGACUGCAGCAUGCUGGAGGGGUGGUGUCAAGAUGGCCUUCUUCCCUUAGGUUCAUUUAUGAGACUGAGCAUCACAAUGGCAUUGCUGAGCUCCUGGAGAUCCUCGGCAGGUCAGUGGGCAGUGGGAUGCCACGGGAGAUGGGACGGGCCCUCAAUUCCCACGUUAGCCCGUGGUCCUAAAGACGCACGCCCUUUGACUUCUAGCAUCAUCAAUGGCUUUGCCUUGCCCCUUAAGGAAGAGCACAAGAUGUUUCUCAUCCGCGUCCUGCUUCCACUUCACAAAGUCAAGUCCCUGAGUGUGUACCACCCUCAGGUGAGCCACCUUCCUCUGAGGACCCCUCACCUGAGCAUCGGAGACCAAGGGGUGGGUGGGGAA
rnacentral:lncRNA from 14 species